rnacentral:rRNA from 1 species
AUGUCUAGGAAAAUGUACCAAGGUGGUUAUUCAAGGAAGCAAGCACCCAGGCUCGCAAUACGUGAGCAAGACGAUGAACCACCGAGUGAAGUUUACGUGCGGCCUUGUGAAUGGCCAUUAGAGGAGUUUAUGGUCAAAGCAGGCAUCAAGGAUGAAUUUGAUGUAUAUGUGCGUAAUGCUAAUCUUGAGGACUUCAUGCAAGAUAAGUGCCCUCAAUACUACCAUUUAACUGAUUCCUUUGUGAGAAGGUUUAAAUUUAUAUCUUCGCGCAAUUCUCACAAUGUCCUGUUUGAUAUUUAUAAUAAAUCAUAUACCAUGGACCAAGAAGAUUUUACUACUGCUUGUAAACUCCCGCAGUGGGGCAGUGUCAAUGAACCUCAUAAAUCUGAAUAUAAAGACUUUCUUGCUAGUAUCACUGUGGGGGAAUCUAGAGAAAUAGCACAAGCUACCAUAGGGAGCAUUCAUUUUCCUUCUUUACAUUAUUUUGCUCUCUUCAUAGGUAGAUACAUCAACGGUAAAGAUGAAGCUUGUCACAUGUGUGUUCUGGAUCUUUGUGUUCUCAAGAGUGAUGUAUUAGGUGAUAAACAAUAUAACUUGGGGGCAAUUAUUGCACGUAGGUUGCAUAAUAAUGGUUUAACUGGAGAUUUGUUUGGGGGGGGGGGGUUAUGCAACCCGUGUGGCUAA